GACGAACGCUGGCGGCGUGCUUAACACAUGCAAGUCGAACGGUGAAGGGGUCUGCUUUUGUGGGCCCUGGAUGAGUGGCGAACGGGUGAGUAACACGUGAGUAACCUGCCCCCUUCUUCUGGAUAACCGCAUGAAAGUGUGGCUAAUACGGGAUAUUCUGGGUCUGUCGCAUGAUGGGUCUGGGAAAGAUUGCGCCUUUGGGUGUUUUUGGUGGGGGAUGGGCUCGCGGCCUAUCAGCUUGUUGGUGGGGUGAUGGCCUACCAAGGCGGUGACGGGUAGCCGGCCUGAGAGGGUGGACGGUCACACUGGGACUGAGACACGGCCCAGACUCCUACGGGAGGCAGCAGUGGGGAAUAUUGCACAAUGGGCGCAAGCCUGAUGCAGCGACGCCGCGUGAGGGAGGGAGGCCUUCGGGUUGUAAACCUCUUUCGCCAGUGAAGCAGGCCUGCUCCUUGUGGGUGGGUUGACGGUAGCUGGAGAAGAAGCGCCGGCUAACUACGUG
rnacentral:rRNA from 1 species